rnacentral:rRNA from 1 species
AUUGAACGCUGGCGGCCGGCUUAACACAUGCAAGUCGAACGAGUGGCGGACGGGUGAGUAAUGCCUGGGAAUCUGGCUUAUGGAGGGGGAUAACGACGGGAAACGGUCGCUAAUACCGCGUACCAUAGGAUGAGCCCAGGUGGGAUUAGGUCGUUGGUGGGGUAAUGGCUCACCAAGCCGACGAGCUCUAGGUGGUCUGAGAGGAUGACCAGCCACACCGGGACUGAGACACGGCCCGGACUCCUACGGGAGGCAGCAGUGGGGAAUAUUGCGCAAUGGGAGCAACCCUGACGCAGCCAUGCCGCGUGAAUGAAGAAGGCCUUCGGGUUGUAAAGUACUUUCGGCGAGGAGGCGUUACUCGCAGAAGAAGCACCGGCUAACUCCGUGCCAGCAGCCGCGGUAAUUC